UACGGAGGGCGCAAGCGUUGUUCGGAAUCACUGGGCGUAAAGCGCGUGUAGGCGGCCUGGCAAGUCGGGUGUGAAAUCCCGAGGCUCAACCUCGGAACUGCACUCGAAACUGGUUGGCUCGAGUCCCGGAGAGGGUGGCGGAAUUCCCGGUGUAGGGGUGAAAUCCGUAGAUAUCGGGAGGAACACCAGUGGCGAAGGCGGCCACCUGGACGGUGACUGACGCUGAGACGAGAAAGCGUGGGGAGCAAACAGG
rnacentral:rRNA from 1 species